rnacentral:ncRNA from 1 species
AUAAAUCUUCAGGGCAGGGUGAGAUUCCCGACCGGUGGUAUAGCCCACGAACCGUAAGGUGUGAUUUCGGUGAAAUUCCGAGGCCGACAGUAUAUAAGUCUGGAUAAAAGGAAGAUUAUU